GACGAACGCUGGCGGCGUGCUUAACACAUGCGAGUCGAACGGAAAGGCCCCUUUGGGGGUACUCGAGUGGCGAACUGGUGAGUAACACGUGAGUAACCUGCCCUUGACUUCGGGAUAACUUCAGGAAACUGGGGCUAAUACCGGAUAGGAAUCCUUGCUGCAUGGUGGGGGUUGGAAAGCUUCGGCGGUUUUGGAUGGACUCGCGGCUUAUCAGCUUGUUGGUGGGGUAGUGGCUUACCAAGGCUUUGACGGGUAGCCGGCCUGAGAGGGCGACCGGCCACAUUGGGACUGAGAUACGGCCCAGACUCCUACGGGAGGCAGCAGUGGGGAAUAUUGCACAAUGGGCGGAAGCCUGAUGCAGCAACGCCGCGUGCGGGAUGACGGCCUUCGGGUUGUAAACCGCUUUCAGCAGGGGCGAAGCUUGUGGUGACGGUACCUGCAGAAGAAGCACCGGCUAACUACGUG
rnacentral:rRNA from 1 species